CAGCAGGUAAUUGCUAUAAAUCGUUGAAAAGUUCCCUCGACUAUCUUUCGUCUCCAUCAUCAGACUGUUAUAGCACUUGUAACUCAUAUAAGUGCAAAGUUGUCAUCAAUAGAAACGAAUUAAGUUCAAACAGCAGGUAAUUGCUAUAAGUCAUUGAAAAGUUCCCUCGACUAUCUUUCGUCUCCAUUAUCAGACUGAAAUGGCACUUAUAACUCAUACAUAUGCAAAGUUCUCAUCAAUAGAAACGAAUUAAGUUCAAACAGCAGGUAAUUGCUAUAAGUCAUUGAAGAGUUCCCUCGACUAUCUUUCGUCUCCAUCAUCAGACUGAAAUGGCACUUAUAAUUCAUACAUAUUCAAAGUUCUCAUCAAUAUAAACGAAUUAAGUUCAAACAGCAGGUAAUUGCUAUAAAUUGUUGAAGAGUUCCCUCGACUAUCUUUCUUCUCCAUCAUCAGAUCGACUCCAGAC
rnacentral:misc_RNA from 1 species